AGGUUUGGGCGGAGUGGGAGGGGAGGAUUGAGAAGGUGGAGAGGGCGGUUAGGAGAUUGGAGGGGAGGAGGGAGGAAUAAAAUGGGGUCUGUGUAGCCUGUCGGGGUCCGGGGAAGGGUAUAGAUAGUUCUUGGAUGGUUAUUUUCUUUCUCUAUCUUUCUCGUUUGUUUUGUUUGUUCCUGCUGCUUGUUAUGGGUUAUGGGAGUUGGGCGGUAGUUUGCAUGUAGCAUUUCUUUUUCUUUUUUUUUUUUUUUCUUUUUCUUUUUUUUGUUUUGCAUAUAUCUUAAAUCUUAUUGUUAUUGUAAAGUAUUACUCCAGAGUCCCUCGAAUGGUGGACCUAUGAAUCUCUCUAGACGGUUUACUCAUUCAGUUAUUUAUCCUAGACAACACAGGGCGGUGUCUUCUUUUUUUUUCUUUCUUUUCCUUUCCUUGCGGCC
rnacentral:sRNA from 1 species